rnacentral:rRNA from 1 species
GUGAGGAAUAUUGCGCAAUGGAGGCAACUCUGACGCAGCCAUGCCGCGUGCAGGAAGAAGGCGCUACGCGUUGUAAACUGCUUUUAACCGGGAAGAAACCCCAGGACGUGUCCUGGGUUGACGGUACCGGAGGAAUAAGCACCGGCUAACUUCGUGCCAGCAGCCGCGGUAAUACGAAGGGUGCAAGCGUUAUCCGGAUUCAUUGGGUUUAAAGGGUGCGUAGGCGGAGCGUUAAGUCAGUGGUGAAAUCCUGCAGCUUAACUGUAGACUUGCCAGUGAUACUGGCGCUCUUGAGUGCGCUUGAAGUGGGCGGAAUGUGCCGUGUAGCGGUGAAAUGCUUAGAUAUGGCACAGAACACCAAUUGCGAAGGCAGCUCACUAAGGCGAUACUGACGCUGAGGCACGAAAGCGUGGGGAUCGAACAGGAUUAGAUACCCGAGUAGUCC